CCAGCGGCGUCACCACGGAAAAUUUCACAAACUGCCUCCGAUGAGACCCUUCCUAAUUCCCGUUUCAUGUAAUUUUUUCACCGUUGUGAUCACCGUUUUCCUCUCUACAAGUUGACUGAAGUGAAAACUCAACCGCAACGUGAGCCAGAAGAGCUGCCGCACUGGAGAGCCCCACCGCCGGUGAGUUUCGAUUUUUCAUAUUUUUUCAGCCCACUGAGGGCCUUUAGCGUUUGUAC
rnacentral:lncRNA from 1 species